UUCAAACAUAUACUAGGGAAAAAUCAGUUAUGCCAACUGGCCAAAAGUGCAUCAAUCCCAAAGUUUAUCAGCCUGAAUCUCCUACAUUGAAUUGCACAGCAGUAAGAAAUGAACCACCAGAGAGAUGACUCAAUAUGUUUUAAAAUGCAUAUGAAUCUGCCACCAUUAGUAACAGACAGAGAUUGGACUUCUUCUAUGAAAUUCAUACCAAGGACUACUGCCUCCAUUUGUAGUAGAUAAACCUGGAUGUACAUCAGAACACAAUGUGGUGGAGGACCUUCGUAUAACAAGCAUUUUGGUAAUGUGGACCCACCAGUAGGUGCUACUGAAAAUGGAAUCAGAGGGUCUGGGGAGAACUGAAGGUCCUUGAAGUCAAGACAUAUGAGCGGUUAAAAUCUGGCUCAUCAUCAGUACAGCUCCACCCCAGCCCCAGUUUGGAGCAACCUAAUAUCUGUUCUAACAUAUAUCAGCUGGCAAUGAUCCUCAAGUCAUUAUCCAUCAAGAUGGAAAUAGAAGGAAGCACCAUUCUCCAACACAUGCCUUAUGCCGGGGCUGCAGGGAUGGGGAUAGAAGCUGACUCUAUACCAGAGAUCAUCUGGAACGCAGCGGUCAGAACCUAAGAACUUCAAGGAAUUCAAAGACAAAUCCCAGUGCAUUAUCAACAACAGAAGAAAAGAAAAUCAAGCACAACUCAUACCUCCAAAAUGGGUCCUCCUUAUUAUACCCUAGAUCCCAUUUCUUCAAUGCCAGGCUUCCUUUCUUCCAUCACGGACUGUUCCAGAUUGACAUAUAUCUGGUAAUUCAUAUUUUGGAGAGGAUUCCCAGCUUGCCUUGCUUUUAAGGGAAUAGACUAUCACACCCUACAAACACAGUAGACCCAGGAACUUUUUUUUAAUAGUAUCUACACCACUGAUAAGAAAAACUAUGCCUGAUUAUUUAAAUAUUUUUGGAUACAUUUUUAUUGUAAAAUAAUGUAAAUGGAUUUAAAACCAGGUUGUAUAGCAGUUUUGGAUUUGCAGUACAUUCUUGCCUUUAAUAUUUUUUCU